ACCGGGUUGGAAUCAUUGGUUUUGGUCAGAGCCCUUCUCACUUGCAGCACAAGGGGAGGUUGUUAUAACACAGUGACAGAGAGUGCAGUUAGUUGGGUGGAGAGAGUGGGUUCCAUGUGCUGCUGGGGCCCAGCCAGCAGCUGAGUGGAGUUCCCCAAUCUCUCCGCACACCCAGGUGCAUCCCAAUCGAGACCUGAGAGAAGAUUUUCAGUCACCCCUCCCCCUCCUCUACCAGAGCCGCACCUUCUUCACAGGUUCUAUAAUCAUAGCUGAGUUUGUGGUGUGUGAAAGUUUCUGGUAGCACCUCUGGGCUGAGUUUACUUCCCCCAGAAAUAGUAGGUGCCACUGACAACAAGGGUGGGCCAGAUUCUCGUCAGAAAUAUCAGCUGACGAUGCUGCACCAAUGACUCAAGUCAGUCCUGGCCACCCAGCACUGAAGGGUUAAUGUGGAGGGUCAGACACUCUGGAGGUGGUCACGUCUCCUAUUACCAGUUGCAUUAUUGACAAGGGCACCUAACACCACUAAGACUAUCCACCAAGUGGCACUGAGAUCAGGAUUUCUACUCGGCUCACAAGUGGAGGCUCUGGAGCUCACCCUGUUGCCCAGACAGCACUUGGGAGGAUGGAGAACUUUUGGAUGUACCCGUUUGAAAGUCAUGAAGAAGAGAUCCUGCAGAGCUUUCUGGCAUGGGAAGCAGCGGAAGUACUAGAAGUAAUACACAGCAGUUGUAGAUACCCGCCCCCUAGCUGUAGCCACUGAUGAGCUGUUUUUACCAAUAUGCCAUUAAAGUGUUGGAACUUACGAA